rnacentral:rRNA from 1 species
UAUUAUGAGAGUUUGAUCCUGGCUCAGGACGAACGCUGGCGGCGUGCCUAAUACAUGCAAGUCGAACGCUUCUUUCCUCCCGAGUGCUUGCACUCAAUUGGAAAGAGGAGUGGCGGACGGGUGAGUAACACGUGGGUAACCUACCCAUCAGAGGGGGAUAACACUUGGAAACAGGUGCUAAUACCGCAUAACAGUUUAUGCCGCAUGGCAUAAGAGUGAAAGGCGCUUUCGGGUGUCGCUGAUGGAUGGACCCGCGGUGCAUUAGCUAGUUGGUGAGGUAACGGCUCACCAAGGCCACGAUGCAUAGCCGACCUGAGAGGGUGAUC